rnacentral:rRNA from 1 species
UACAGAGGUCUCAAGCGUUGUUCGGAUUCAUUGGGCGUAAAGGGUGCGUAGGUGGCGAGGCAAGUCAGAUGUGAAAUCCCGGGGCUCAACCCCGGAACUGCAUUUGAAACUGCCUUGCUCGAGUACUGGAGAGGAGACUGGAAUUUACGGUGUAGCAGUGAAAUGCGUAGAUAUCGUAAGGAGGACCAGUGGCGAAGGCGAGUCUCUGGACAGUUACUGACACUGAGGCACGAAGGCCAGGGGAGCAAACGGG